rnacentral:rRNA from 1 species
GACGAACGCUGGCGGCGUGCUUAACACAUGCAAGUCGAACGGAAAGGCCCUUCUUGGUACUCGAGUUGCAAACGGGAGCGUAACACUAGCGUGUUCUUCCCUUCCCUUUGGGUUAGGCCUGAGUACCUGGGUCUAAUGCCAAUACUGGAUAUCGGCUCCUUCUUCGUUGUUGGGGAUCGUUUGCGGUGUGGGAUGGGCUCGCGGCCUAUCAGCUUGUUGGUGGGGUUAUGGCCUACCAAGGCGACGACGGGUAGCCGGCCUGAGAGGGUGACCGGCCACACUGGGACUGAGAUACGGCCCAGACUCCUACGGGAGGCAGCAGUGGGGAAUAUUGCACAAUGGGCGGAAGCCUGAUGCAGCGACGCCGCGUGAGGGAUGACGGCCUUCGGGUUGUAAACCGCUUUCAGCAGAGACGAAGCGUGAGUGACGGUAAGGGGAGAAGAAGAACCGGCCAACUACGUG